rnacentral:rRNA from 1 species
GACGAACGCUGGCGGCGUGCUUAACACAUGCAAGUCGAACGGAAAGGCCCUGCUUUUGUGGGGUGCUCGAGUGGCGAACGGGUGAGUAACACGUGAGUAACCUGCCCUUGACUUUGGGAUAACUUCAGGAAACUGGGGCUAAUACCGGAUAGGAGCUCCUGCUGCAUGGUGGGGGUUGGAAAGUUUCGGCGGUUGGGGAUGGACUCGCGGCUUAUCAGCUUGUUGGUGGGGUAGUGGCUUACCAAGGCUUUGACGGGUAGCCGGCCUGAGAGGGUGACCGGCCACAUUGGGCCUGAGGUACGGCCCAGACUCCUACGGGAGGCAGCAGUGGGGAAUAUUGCACAAUGGGCGGAAGCCUGAUGCAGCACCGCCGCGUGCGGGAUGACGGCCUUCGGGUUGUAAACCGCUUUCGCCUGUGACGAAGCGUGAGUGACGGUAAUGGGUAAAGAAGCACCGGCUAACUACGUG